AGUUGAUUAAUUGUAGAGAUGUAUAAGCGGUAACCACACACACACUUCGAUCGAGCUCCUCCGCCCCCUCUCGUUCGCCCGUCGCACAAGCUGCCAAGAUCAGGUCUUCCUCUCCCUUCCACCGUCGCGAGCAUCCAUCUCUGUUGCUGGGUACGACGACUCUGCGAGGCGAGGAGACAUCUUGGAGGCUUGAACCCUCAAAGUACGCUCGAUGUUAACCUAAAAUCCCUGCAGACUUUUCAUUCCGAUCCGGUCAGAAUCGGCCGGGGAUAUUUAAUGGAUAAAGGAUGGUGCAUCAUUUACAACAAUAAGAUUGUAAAGUUUCUUCUGUCGAAAGAUGCAUCAUUUCCAUAUGGAAAUUGCUUGUGGCAUGGCACCUUGUUCAGAAUAAUGGACGAGCUGCCACAAAAUCACUUUCGAGUUCUAAUCUCAUUUGUGCAUCAUUAAGAAGUAAUGCCCAUCCUAGAUUAUCUUAUGGGGAUGGUUUUGACAAAGAACCAUUUUGGAUAAAUGUGGUGAAGGAUACUGCAUGGAGUUUGAAAUCUGUAGCAGUAUUCUUUGCUGAGCAGCCUAGCCAGAUAAAGUACAUAGAGUGGCCAACAUUUCAAAGCACGUUGAGGACGGCCAGUCUUACCCAUGUUCUUGUGGCUUUGCUCAUUGUUGCUUUGUCCUCUGUGGACUCGUGUCUCUGUUAUAUUUUGGCUUUGCUGCUCAGGAGAACUGCUUAGUUACAGAGCUUUUGUAUGCCGUCGACCUCAGAGACUUGUCAACGGCGAUGCAAUUUCAAGUUGUGGAGCAUGAAACUAGCAAAACGUAAUGCUUAAAUCUUAAGGGGCUGAAUUCUGAAGUUCCUGUGCCACGACUGAUUUUACUUGUUGACAUCAAGAUAUUUGGUUGGAUGGUUUCUAACAGUUAGCUCGUAGCAUGACAUUUUCUUCUAUCGACUCGUGCAAGUUUCUCAUAACUCAGGAGCUCAACCUGAUGGAUGUAGAAAUGAACCUCGAGAGGAAUACAUAUGAGAACUAAGCAUUAAAGACGAAACUCAGUGUGAUGUUCAGUUUGUGGUAAGCAAUACUUAGCUUUCAUAAGCUGAAGGAGAUCAAUCUGUUGCUACACAUGCAGUAAACUAGAAAAGGCCGCAAGGGAAUGACUUCUCUAGAAAGACUUACCUGAACUCGGCCGAAGGCAUGAUCCAUAGAAAUAGCAGGGAGGAGGAUUUCCCAGACACGCCACAGUGCCUAGUGAGAUCUUAUUACCUUAAGGGACACAGCCAUCUUCUCAGCAUAUCCUCAAAGGAGACAUAAAAAGAGAGAAAAAACGGACCUGUCAAGAGAAGAGAAGAAGAAACUACCAAUCGAAUCACCUCGAAUCUUAUUCCACAAGCAUUAAAGACUCAAGGAGACUGUACUGUGCAUAGGCCGUGUGACCCAAGGUGAGGGGUGUAAUGAUGGAGGAAAAUAAUCACGAUGAAGCUUUUGGAAAACCGUGAGUCCAUUGAAUGAGCCAGCCCCAUUUAUACAACUUCACCGGGAGCAGCUCACUUUGAACGUAGACUCAGUGCUAAGUAUGGGAGCAAAGUGAAGUUUGUCAUCUUAGCUCUCUCUCUAGGCUGGUUCCAUACUAUUUAAAAAAGGAUAAAUCGGGAGCAUAAGUAUUAUAGCAAAAUAUGUCUACAUAAUCCAUCCUUAAAGUACGAUGAGAAAUAAAUCAUGGGAUCAAUUUAUAACAUCGGGAGGUAUGAGUGUGAUUAUUAGUAAAGUGAUCGAGUUGAAUUAGAUUGUUUUGAUAGGGUUAAUGAAGAGUUUAAGUUAAAUCUAUUUUGAAA